AGCAGCCGCGGUAAUUCCAGCUCCAAUAGCGUAUAUUAAAGUUGCUGCAGUUAAAAAGCUCGUAGUUGAAUUUCGGGACUAAUAUGUCGGUCGUGCCUCGGUACGUACUGGUUUAUUGGUUUCUCCUUUCUGAAGAACCAUGAUGUCAUUUAUUUGGUGUCGUGGGGAAUCAGGACUGUUACUUUGAAAAAUUAGAGUGUUUAAAGCAGGCUCACGCUUGAAUACGUUAGCAUGGAAUAAUGAAAUAGGACGUUUGAUCCUAUUUUGUUGGCUUCUAGGAUUGACGUAAUGAUUAAUAGGGAUAGUUGGGGGCAUUAGUAUUCAAUUGUCAGAGGUGAAAUUCUUGGAUUUAUUGAAGACUAAUUACUGCGAAAGCAUUUGCCAAGGAUGUUUUCAUUAACCAAGAACGAAAGUUAGGGGAUCGAAGACGAUCAGAUACCGUCGUAGUCUUAACCAUAAACUAUGCCGACUAGGGAUCGGAUGAUGUUAAUUUUUAAUGUACUCAUUCGGCGCCUUACGG
rnacentral:rRNA from 1 species